rnacentral:rRNA from 1 species
CCUACGGGAGGCAGCAGUGGGGAAUCUUGCGCAAUGGGCGAAAGCCUGACGCAGCCAUGCCGCGUGAAUGAUGAAGGUCUUAGGAUUGUAAAAUUCUUUCACCGGGGACGAUAAUGACGGUACCCGGAGAAGAAGCCCCGGCUAACUUCGUGCCAGCAGCCGCGGUAAUACGAAGGGGGCUAGCGUUGCUCGGAAUUACUGGGCGUAAAGGGAGCGUAGGCGGAUAGUUUAGUCAGAGGUGAAAGCCCAGGGCUCAACCUUGGAAUUGCCUUUGAUACUGGCUAUCUUGAGUACGGAAGAGGUAUGUGGAACUCCGAGUGUAGAGGUGAAAUUCGUAGAUAUUCGGAAGAACACCAGUGGCGAAGGCGACAUACUGGUCCGUUACUGACGCUGAGGCUCGAAAGCGUGGGGAGCAAACAGGAUUAGAUACCCUGGUAGUCCACGCUGUAAACGAUGAGUGCUAGUUGUCGGCAGGCAUGCCUGUCGGUGACGCAGCUAACGCAUUAAGCACUCCGCCUGGGGAGUACGGUCGCAAGAUUAAAACUCAAAGGAAUUGACGG